ensembl:lncRNA
CGUUUUUCUGGCAUGAUGAUUUUGUAACUGUAUUAUGACAGUGUCUGAUCAUCAACUGCAUCCGUUUCGUUUUUCACUUUCAGCCAAUCAGAGCUGCGGACGUUCAUCCGACGUCCGUUACAUCUGAGCUAGGGCAGAUGCAACAGGUUGCAGGUUAGGUCAGUUGCGUGAAAGCAGGUUUGCAGGUUAGGAGGAUACAAUGUUUAAAUUCGCCGUCUACUACUUGUUUGAUAAAACACUUAAAGUGGAAAGUACGUCGGUCAUUCUUGGUAGCGACCAGUUCACCCAAGUGGCAUCCCAGCCGGACUUAGAUGACGAUGCGAACUGGAUUGAAAUAAAAUGGCCCACGAGAAAAGAAACAAACAGGAUGGUGCCUGCUAAGGUGCUGUUAUUUGGAGAUUCCUACAAAGAACUUGUGUCGAAGAAGAAUUUAUUCCUUCUCGGUAAGGAUAUCUGGGCCAAGGAAGAAAGCAGGGGUGUGCGCAUGAAAAAGAAGAUGUGUGAGACCGACGUAGUGAAGCCUAAAACGUCCCAACAGGCAGAGCAAACCAGGAUUAAAGACGCAGCCAGGGACCAGGUGUUACAAAACCUGAAGACUUGCCUGUCUCAGAAAAGGGCCCUGGACACACAAGAUCACCUCUACAGUUCUGAGAAUGAAUCUCCACAACGUGUUCAUGGGGGAAAGCGAGCAAAGAUUAACAAGGCAGCAAGACGUGUGCUUUUACCCCUGGCAUCCAGUCUAACUUCUGAUGACGCUACAUCCAUAGGAAGUCCACAACGGCAUGACAUUUUUCAAGACCAUGCCUCAGAUGAAGAGUUGGGUUUCUCCCAAGCCCAGAGAAUGAAGCUGAUGGAUGAUAAUACUGGUCAUGGUAUGGCACCUGGAAUGAAUGAAAUCAUGUCAUGCCUUCAUGACCUGCCAGAAAUGAUUAAAUUAAUGAGGGAGUGUGUGGAGUGUGUCCGGGCAUUGAUGUCUUCUAGAGAGACCCCUUCAUUUGCAGCGUCAUCAUCUUCUGUGGACGGCGAAAUUGAAAUGCACCCCUUGGCAGGCAGCACAGUGACCGUUUCAAAGAGGGCUUUCCUGCGGCUGAAUAGAUCUCGCAUGACCAUUUUUGCCCAGGAGCUGGCUGUCCUGGUAUUCACAAAGGAGGGCCUUGCACAGUCCACCCUAACUGGAAAGUCUCGGAAGGGGGGGCCGCCAAAAACACAGCUUGAUGUUGACAAAGUGCAGGCUAUUACAGAUGCUGUUCUUCUGGAAUUCCGACAGACCACUGUCUCUGAUGUGCGUGCGGCCAUCAGACGAAAAUGCAAUAAUGAGCAGUUCAGCCAAAGAAACACACACCACGCAUAAUAUGUGGUGUGUGUUUCUGUAUGGUGGGAGGGGUUAGGCAGGAAUGUUAAGGAAUUAAGGAAUGUUGUCUUUCAUUGUUAUUUCUGUUGUGUUCUGUUAAGUUUAUGUGAAAUGUUUAUUCUGCUGAAAUGUUUAGUUCUGGUCUGCUGCCAUAAUGUAAGUGUUCAUACAUUGGUUGUAAGUUUUUUGUAUGUACUAUAUGGUACAAAUACAUAAAAAUAUAUUUUUUCA